GAUAGAAGAGGAAGUUCAUCAGACUUUAAGACGCUCCCCAGGGCAGGCUAGGGAUUUCACCCAUGAACCCUAAUAUCCCAUUAUAUAUGAAUCGUUUUGCAAUUGUGAGACGUGAAGAUAGAAAGGCAGAUUGAAUGCGAAUUGCAGAUGAAGCAUCGUGUGUUUCAAUUUCAUCUCAAGUUCAUCAUGGUUGAAACACACAAGACACAUCUCACCAAUUUUAAAUGCAGGAGCAACACAAAGUUUCGACGACAACAACACUGAUUUAGACUCCUAUUUGUUUGAUUUCUUCAAUUUCAUCUCAUCAAUCCGACCACCUGCUUAGGUUUUCCUCAAAAGUACAUCAUGGCGAUGGAAUCGGGAAUCUAUCCGAUGUGUUGUGGGAGGCCGUUUCUACAGGUCAAUUUGUAUCAUUAUAUCAGGGUCUUGGAACAAAGAAUUUGCAAUCAUUUAUAGCACAGUUUGUGUACUUUUACAGAUAUAGUUAUUUUAAAACGGUGUACCAGGUAAAAUAUGGUACAAAAUCAAUUGGAACAAAACCAAAUUUGCUUCUUGCUGCUUCUGCCGGGGCAUAUGUACUGCCAUCAUAACUCAGGUGGUGGGAUUAGCUAGAGCCAUGAUCAAACAUUAUAAAAAGGUAGAAGGGUUAGGUGAUGCGGUGGACAUAGUUCGAACGGGUGGUGAUGGUGCAAACGCCGUAAAUAUCUCAACCGGAUCAUCGAUAUUAGCAGCGGCUUGUGGAGCAAGAGUUGCAAAGGUUUCUGGAUAUGUAUCUUCAGUUUCAUUGCUGAAUUAUAAUCACAACCAUUUUUAUCUAUCUUGAGGCUUUUCUUGAAAGUUGUUAUCACAUUAGGUUGUAAUUAUCCAACCUAUUAACGGGUCAACUUUGUUUGAUCUCAUAGUUAAUAUUGUUAUAAUCAAAACGUUAGCUUAAAA